GCGGGUUUAGCUCAGUUGGGAGAGCGUCAGACUGAAGAUUUGAAGGUCCUGUGUUCGAUCCACAGAAAUCGCA
rfam:Ascoidea rubescens DSM 1968 unplaced genomic scaffold ASCRTscaffold_6, whole genome shotgun sequence.